GAAUAAGUAUUUCAAACAGGUGUGUGCAAUUCAAACUGUACCAUGCCUACAAAUUAUUAUACUGCUUGUUUCUACAGUAUCUGUUGUGGCCUCUCCUUUUUGUUAGUGAACACUGGAAACUUCAUGCAAGGAAGAUCUGCCAUGGACAUUUCUCAGUGCAGCCUUACACAGCCAGGUGCAGAACACUGAAGGAAGUGUGGUCUUUGUUCACUGCCGCUGUCUGAGGAGGCGUGCGGUAUUCACCCCCACCGCUGCGGAUUUAGAAGUACAUCCUUCAGCUGGAGGGAUUCCACAAGAGGAGCCCUGAUCUGGAUGAGCCGUGUGAGAGACACACCAGUGGAUGGAGCUGCAGCCACCCAACUGUGUGCCCACCGAGACAUUAAUAACAGGGAAUGAGAUGUGACAGUCCUGACAGGAGAUUCAGGUGGACAAAAUGUAUGUGCCUAAAGAGUUCCUGCAUGGUGGAUAGGAGUGUGGGAAGAGAGAAAAUAAUUCCCUGAGAAAGGGCUUUGAGGAUGCUGUCAAAGUAACUGGGCAGACAGGAAGCAAGAGCUAGGCGAUUUUUAAUAGUAACAGUGUGCUUUGGUCAGGAAAUAAUAAAAUCUCUCUCAGAAGCAGAGAUGCUUUAAACUCUUCAGUAAAGUAUUUUUAUUCUGCCAGGACUGCUGUCGACAGACCUGGGCAGGUGCAGAAGAGAAGGGACGGGCGAUCUGCCUGUUCCCAGAGCCGUGCCCCUGCCCUCACCCUGUUGCCUGAGCGCCCUUCUUGUACAGAAGCCUGAACAGCUCCUAGGGUCACCGUCUGUUUCUAAAACAAAUCUUAAAGAGGCUCUUUUAUCAUUUUGGUUUAAUCUGAUACCUGCUCCAGUAUUUCCAUAUGAAACAUGGAGAGGGAACAAAUGAAGCGGUGCCAUGAGAACAAUCAUUGUUUUUCCCAACAUAUAGGAACCUGUAAAACUCAAUGAGGAAGUUACUAUGAUAGAAGUUGUACCUUAAAAACAAACUCAUGAUGUUUGUUAAUAAUCAGGCUAGAGAGGAAUAAUAGUUUCUGAGAGGUGUGGUAUAUGUUUAAGUAAUACAUUCUUGUAAAGCACCUUAAUGCCAUCUCUGUGUUCUUUAUAAUGCCCCUAUUGCUUGCAGCGCGCUACAAACUCCUGCAUGCUGUGCUGAUCUCACUGCUCUUCUCUCAUUCUGUUACCUCCAGAACAGUUCAGCAGUAAGGAUCUUCAGCAAGGGAAAGGUACUCCUUCGGCUGUGCGAGAAGAGCAACCCUUUUCCCUUCCCAGGACAGCUUGCCUUCCUGUGCUUUAAUCAAGUAAAAUCUCAGUGAAAUUGGGUUAAGAAGCAAAAAAUUACUAGUAACUCUGGUGUGUUAACAGAUAUAUCUGGAGGUUACAUUCUGUUGAAUAAAAUUGCUGAAUAACAUUAGUUACAAAAACAACCUGGCUGUACCCUAAGUAUUUAUUUAUUAGAGCCAGAGGUGUAGUCAUCCAGAUUAAGCAGCUUCACAAAUCUCUGUCUCUGUUAUUUUUAGGGCACUAAUAAGAAGAAAUCUGGCUGCAGUAAAAAGAUGAGACAGUCUGUUAAAACCACAAUUUAAGUGAGCUGCUAAUGGUACAGUUUGCAAUCAAGAUUACUUCUCAAUUAGUCAUUUAUACACCCUUUAAUUUUUCUAUUUCAUUGCAUUAAGCAAGAGGGAAUAAGUGUUACCUGCUGCAACACUUACUCUAUAUUUCAAUGUAAAGAUUUUUCUGUCGAUUGCAAAUAAUUAUGGUUCAGAGAGUUUGUCUCAUACCUUAAUCUGUGCUGAGAGUAUGCAAAUGGCUAAUAAUAUGAAUGAUGCAAACCAGAAACAUGUGUUUUCACAUUUUUUAACAUUUUUUACAUUUCCCAGAUUUAUUUACCUUCUUUUUGAAAUCCAUGGAGAAAGAACUGAGAAAAAGUACAAAUGUUUAUACAGAUUUGUAUAGAAAGGAAAUCCAUGUGCUGUCAUGAUGUGCCUAAGCUGCUUAAAUAUUCACUCAAAUACAAAGAAAACAACUGUCUACAUGUCAAAACUAGCAAUUUAUUGAGCUAAGAGAAUGUUUACAUGUAACUUACUCCAAAAUACUGCUACAACUUCAAAAAUGUCAUGGUGAUAGAGAACGAUGUUACUGUAAUGUAGUAAAUUCAAUUAUCAUUAGAGCAAGAUAUAUCAGAAGCUAGAGAUGAAUAGAACAUUCCUAUAUUAUUGUAGUUUUAUAAAUAAUGCAUGUUAAUCAUUUUAGGUAUUUAGGGCUACCACUGCUGGCUGGUACUCCUGCUUCAUGGAUGACUUUCCUGAAG